GUAUCCGGCCAGGGGGCCAUCACCGACAAUCGUCGGCCCCCAUUCGUCGCCGGCGCCAGCCACCGCAGGCGGUGCCCGGAAAAGGUGAUGGUGGCAGACAAUGGAUAUAAAAAAUAGGAGGAAAAAUGGGGCAAGUGAGAAAGUGGCUAGGUGGCUAGGGUUUCUUGGUUUUUUUGGGGGUUAGAUUUUUUUUGAGGGGGCUUAAUGGGCUUUUGAAUUGGGUUUAAUAUUUGGGUUUUGUAAUCGGUUUGGGUAGAUGUAAAUGGGUUAUGAGUUAAGGAUUUUAGUGAGUUUAGAGGUUUGGUUGAGUUUUGAUGUAAUCGGGCCCGGGCAAUUUGGGCUUCUACAAAUACUAUGUAUUAGUUUCUAAUCCCAA